ACAAUGGUUACAAACCUCUCACCAAAGGCUGGUGGGGUGAAGCCACAUGUGUGGACGGUGUUUGGUCUGGAGUUGAAAGCUGUAUCGAGGAACAAACGUGUGGAGAAGCUCCUGUGAUUCCUAAUGGGGAAGGGACUCUAGGGAGUACUGAACGACACGGACAGUCCCAAGAAAUUAUAUCGAUUGUUUGCAAUGAAGGAUACUCUGCUAAGAUUGAGGAAUUAACCUGUCGUGACGGAUGAUGGGAUUUAAAUGGAUCACUUGAUGAUAUCUGUAGAUCUAAUCAUGAUAACUGCAGGCCUCCGCCCAAAGUUGAGAAUGCUGUUAUUACAACUCCUUAUCAGAAGCAAUACCCAUCUGGCUCUGAAGUAACUUAUCAGUGCUUUGACAAUUACAUUACGGAAGGAAAAGCUACAAUUAACUGCAUAGCUGGGGAAUGGAAGGAGCUCACCAUUAA